GACGAACGCUGGCGGCGUGCUUAACACAUGCAGGUCGAACGCUGAAGACCUGGCUUUUGUUGGGUUGGAUGAGUGGCGAACGGGUGAGUAACACGUGAGUAACCUGCCCCCUUCUUUGGGAUAACGCCCGGAAACGGGUGCUAAUACUGGAUAUUCACUGAUCUUCGCAUGGGGGUUGGUGGAAAGGUUUGUUCUGGUGGGGGAUGGGCUCGCGGCCUAUCAGCUUGUUGGUGGGGUGAUGGCCUACCAAGGCUUUGACGGGUAGCCGGCCUGAGAGGGUGACCGGUCACAUUGGGACUGAGAUACGGCCCAGACUCCUACGGGAGGCAGCAGUGGGGAAUAUUGCACAAUGGGCGAAAGCCUGAUGCAGCGACGCCGCGUGAGGGAUGGAGGCCUUCGGGUUGUAAACCUCUUUCGCUCAUGGUCAAGCCGCAACUGUGGGUUGUGGUGAGGGUAGUGGGUAAAGAAGCGCCGGCUAACUACGUG
rnacentral:rRNA from 1 species